rnacentral:lncRNA from 1 species
AUGAGAGCAAGAAACCAACUUCUGGUAGCUGUCACCCUGUGACUGAGAUCUCCUUAACAGAAUGAGAGGAAAAAAGAAAAUUCAUGCUACUUUCAGUCUGGUCCAUUACAAGUUCCCAUAGUGCUCCUCCAUGCUGUUUCCCCUUCUACUUGGUGGAUGCGGAUGACUAUGAAACCCUAGCAUAUGGGAGAGCCACUGAUGGAAAUAGUCUGGGUCACUGAAUGACUGCAUGUGGAGAAGCCUCCUACCAACCUCACCAUGAGCCAUCCUACG